UUUUAGAAAAAUCGGGACUUAAUCAAGUUCAGAAGAAAAGAGAGGAUACGAACAUAAACAGAAUAGAUGAAACAUGCUUAGCAAGAACACAAACAGAGUUCAGUAAAGCAAAAAUUUAGGAACUCAAUGGUAAACAUAUGUAGUAGAAGAAUAACGAAAACAUAACACAGAUUAAUCAUGAGCACACAUAUAAAAAGUAGAAGAAUAGUACAUGCAUAGUAGAAGAGAUCAUACGAACAUGAUAUGAACAAACAUGAAUAAAGAAAAGAAAAAGAGAAUAAAAAAAUAUGUUUUCUUUUUAUAAAAAAACUUGCAGAAACCCUAAAUUGAACACAAACGAUUUUAAAAAGAAAACUUGGGGAAAACACUUAAAAUGUUGAGUAGAGUGUAGAUUCAGUAUAUAUCUAGGAAAAAAAACAGAGAAAGAACCUUGAAUAGCAUAGGGUUCAGAGAAACACUAGAAGUGAGAAAGGCUUGUAAGAAAUCAGAUCCUGAGUCGAAAAGGUUAGGAAUCAGGCUUUUAGUGCUAGAACAUGUCGAAGUGUGUCCGGAGAAAAUAUAGAUCUACAGAUCUGAGAAGUUAUGAGAAGAGGGUAGUUGAGAUCAAGCUUCAAAACCUCGAACAACUUAGGUCUAAUGGUGGAGAGGGGUGAGUACAGACCAUCCUUGGCCUGAGAAGCCAUGAAUUUUGGUGAAAUUACGGUGAAAGAAGGUAGGAAGUGGCUGGGGUUCUGAUGAACCUUGAGAGAAUUUUGAGAGAAGAAAGGGUUAAAAGACAAC
rnacentral:lncRNA from 1 species